GGCUCAGGAUGAACGCUAGCGGCAGGCCUAACACAUGCAAGUCGAGGGGUAGAAUUAGCUUGCUAAUUUGAGACCGGCGCACGGGUGCGUAACGCGUAUGCAAUCUACCUUGUACAGGGGGAUAGCUCAGAGAAAUUUGGAUUAAUACCCCAUGGUAUAAUUAAUUUGCAUGAAUUGAUUAUUAAAGUUCCAACGGUACAAGAUGAGCAUGCGUCCCAUUAGCUAGUUGGUGUGGUAACGGCAUACCAAGGCGACGAUGGGUAGGGGUCCUGAGAGGGAGAUCCCCCACACUGGUACUGAGACACGGACCAGACUCCUACGGGAGGCAGCAGUGAGGAAUAUUGGUCAAUGGUCGGAAGACUGAACCAGCCAUGCCGCGUGCAGGAAGAAGCAUCUAUGGUGUGUAAACUGCUUUUGUACGGGAAGAAACACUCCUUCGUGAAGGAGCUUGACGGUACCGUAAGAAUAAGGAUCGGCUAACUCCGUG
rnacentral:rRNA from 1 species